rnacentral:tRNA from 1 species
UGUGAGAUGGCUGAGUAAAAGCGUAGGACUGUAGAUCCUAGUUAUGGGGUGUGGAGCCCCUCUCACAA